UUUUUUAUAGUGUAACCCGAACACAUUACAUUUUCGAUGUAAAGAUGAAGAUUUGUACCUCUUCUAAAAAUA
rnacentral:tRNA from 1 species